AGGAUAGUAGUUCAAUUGGUAGAGCGUCGGUCUCCAAAACCGAAAGUUGCGGGUUCAAAUCCUGCCUAUCCUGCCA
rnacentral:tRNA from 1 species